rnacentral:rRNA from 1 species
AUUGAACGCUGGCGGCAGGCCUAACACAUGCAAGUCGAACGAGCGGCGGACGGGUGAGUAAUGUCUGGGAAACUGCCUGAUGGAGGGGGAUAACUACGGGAAACGGUAGCUAAUACCGCAUACCAUCGGAUGUGCCCAGAUGGGAUUAGCUAGUAGGUGGGGUAAAGGCUCACCAAGGCGACGAUCCCUAGCUGGUCUGAGAGGAUGACCAGCCACACUGGAACGGCGACACGGUUCAGCCUCCUACGGGAGGCAGCAGUGGGGAAUAUUGCACAAUGGGCGAAAGCCUGCUGCAGCCAUGCCGCGUGUGUGAAGAAGGCCUUCGGGUUGUAAAGUACUUUCAGCGGGGAGGCGUUACUCGCAGAAGAAGCACCGGCUAACUCCGUGCCAGCAGCCGCGGUAAUUC